rnacentral:tRNA from 1 species
GGUCUUGUAUUCAUUUGGUGAUUAUAGAAUGCAAUUCUGUAGGGGUAAGUUGGACUUAUCAAGGCCU